UAUGAAAUACACAUGUGUCUCAGAUGUUGAUAAGGAUCAACUUUCUUAAACAUUUACCCAGAAGUCAAUUUCUAUGUGACAGAUACUUUGGUAGCGGAAGCUAUUAAUAGAAUUUAUGUUGGGUUACGAAGGUUGUUAUACAGCUAUAUAUAUAAUAAAAUUUAUUGUUUUUAAAAAGUAGAGUUUGUUAUGAGACCAUGUUCUUAAGUGUCUAAUUAUAUGAUGAAACUUUGACAAUCUCCAAACAUACAGUGGUCUGCUAGUGGUUCAGGAGCUAUAAGAUCUCUUUUAGGGGAGGCAGAAGACAGUUCAUUAAGACUUCAGCUCAACUUAUUAAACUGGCAAGUGGAUUUCUACUUUUCAUUUUUAACUGUGUGGACCCUGAUUUAGAGUCCCAAAAUUUAAGUCUCCUCCUUCUGCUCCAAGUAUGAAGAUGACAAGUGGCCGGCCCCUACCCAUGGAUAUAGUAGGGCUUUAUCUGGUUUAAUGUUCACAUCAGAUAAUAAAUAGAUGUUUCCACUUAAACUCUGUGCUUAUUACUUAGAUUCCAUUAUGUGUUUUUUAAUAGCCCUGCUGGCAGACAGUUGCCAUUAAAAACCUACAGCCAAAUUCCUCUUCUCUCUCAAUGCUGUCUCUCCUUCGCAACAGUAGACACCCUUCUGGCUGUUCGACCUUCGAGUGACCUUCCUCCAGCUACCUCAGGAGUCUGAACAUCCAGAGGGCUCCUACAUGAGAAAGAGUGAGAGCUGGUUCCACUGAGGAAGUUGCCAACCAGAGUCUAUAGAACCGUGUUUGAACUCUGAUUCUUCAUAAAUUGGGGCAAAAUAUUCACUAUGUGUAAACCUUAGCUUCUCAAUGUUUAAAUGCAGGGACAGUAAAACCUGUUUGGUACAGAAAAGAGCCAUUGGAAAGAGUGAAGCUGGUAUAAUCCUGGUGAACCAUGGAUGGUGUUGAGAUAUGAGAAGUGGUGGUGGCAGGGGACUUGGGUGUGGGAUGGUGGGUGGCCCCUGUGUCUUCUGGGUGGAAUCAUGUCACUGCAGGGCCAGUUGUCUGUUAGGCUGCACCCUAAUAAACUCACAGUAACAUUAAAGGACUUUAAGGAAUUAUUAUGCUAAGUGAAGUCAGUCAGACAAUGAGACGCCAACAUCAAAUGCUAUCACUGACAUGUGGAAUCUGAAAAAAGGACACAGUGAACUUCUUUGCAGAACAGAUACUGACUCACAGACUUUGAAAAACUUUUGCUUUCCAAAGGAGACACUUUGGGGGCUGGGGGGAUGCGCUGGGGGUGUGGGAUGGGAAUACUAUAAAACUGGAUUGUGGUGAUCAUUGUACAACUAUAAAUGUAAUAAAUUCAUUGAGUAAUAAAAAAAAUUGUUGUGUUUUAGGAAAUCCUACCCAUGCUGUUUCUUGUGACAACUUUUGAUUAAAUCAUCUCAGUCCAGUGCAUUAAGUGGAAUCGUUUUACGAGAGGCCUGACCGGCGGGUCAUCCACUUUUGAUGUCAUAGUGUGUUUCCCUCAAGUGCGUGCGGCUCCUUAAAGUCUGUGGGUUUCAGAGUUUCAUUUUGUUGAGCAAAUCUGUGCAUUUGGAGAAGGAUUGGAUUCUCGCGGCUCUGCCUACGUCUUCCCUCUGGUCACCUGUGCUUUCUCCCAUCGGGCUCGCCUCUUUUUCCUGGUGUAUUUGUUGCUUGAUUUUAAUGCUAGGACUUUUCUGGUUUGGGAUGCAUAUUUCAAGGAGUCAUUUUUGCUCUCUUUCUGUAGAACUAGUGAGGAAGGGCAUGCUGCCCCUCAGCCAGCAGGACCACAGCCCAGGGUCCCAGCAUGUUUGUCACUCAGUGCAGCUCCAGGAGAAGCUGCGCAGAAGGACUCAGUGCCUCAGGGUGAAUGUGGUUUGAUGACAGGAAUUCUGUUAGCGUCGUGUGGAGGUGACAUUGACCUCAGAGUGGACAGAGCUGGGCUUGAGUUCAGACCAUGCUGGAGACUCACUCCAGAAGGUACUUUUGGACAGACUCAGUCUCUCUAGUUGAGGUUGGAGGCACCACCACCAUCUGCACUGACGAGCUGCGGUGGAGAAAUGCAGUUACACCCAUGAAACGUCUCACCGUGCCUAGUAGGAGGCUCAGGAGGAAGAAAUCCCAACUUAAUCAUCUGCCUUCAUUCAUAGUGAAUACAGCCAGCAGGUAGAUGAGGUGUCGUAAGCAGAGAUCCCCUUGAGAAAUGAGAGACAGUGUUUGUCAAACCUGAGAGCUCACGGGCCACUGGGAGCCAUCAGAUCCAGGUUUGCUCAGGACUCCUGGGAGGUGGCACAUUUGCCCCAUGAAGAUGGCUUUCAGUUGUGAAAUGGUUACUGCACUGUAUUCAACCUGGAGUAAUCUUGAUACUGGGACACACAGAGUCCUUAUUAGACAUGCGGGUACGAUGAAUUAAGGUUAGGUAGUUUGUAUUCAUUUAGAUUUUGAACAGCAUGACCAAAUUAAAACACAUUCUGACACUGGUGAAUUUGGAUGACACACUUCAUGUUAAUACAGAGAUUCAAAUACGGCAUGUAUUUUCAGCUUUGCUGAAUUAUUUUCCUUUGUGCUAGUUGUGUAAGCAACAACGUAAAUCAUUAAUUGAAUAAUUAUGUUUCCCUUCUACAGAUACACAUGGCAUUUGUCUAAGAAUUCUGCAGCUUAUUUGUUUCUAUAACAUACUAGCUGGACUGUCUCUUGAUUUCUUAUAUCUACCUCUGAGAGAAGAUUAGGAAUCUUUAUUCUGAACACCAGCAAAUCCUUCUGGAGGUUAUGAUCAGAGGCCAUGCAAACAAGAGCCUCUGGGGUAAUUGUCUCUGAAUGAGAUUUAUUCGUGAACAGCUUGUGGCCUUUCAUCCUUAAGAAUUGUGACCAUGUUCAUUGAUAACAACACUAGAGGUUAAAAUGUGCAACCCAGAAAACAAAAAGAAAGAUAAUCUUUCAUUUGAUGGAGAAAAACAAAGUACUUGUUGAAGCUUUGAUGCUCAGACAGGAGAUGGAAAAAAAGGUGCUGAGAAAUUGUUUCCCUGUUUACUGAUUCUCAAAUCCUUCAUUCUGUGUUAGGCCCUAACAUGAAGCUGCAUAAAACAUGAAAACUUGUUUUUUAAAAUUUGUGUUUCUGCGCAAAUCUACGAGUUUAGAUUUAGUGAUAGGGAGGUUUAGGGACACAUAGCCUCUUGGAGAAGUCGGAGGGGGCUUUUUCUGCUCCCAAAGGGAGGUUCGGUUCUGGGUGGACUUCCAUUGGGCAUUUGGUCCGGUUUACUGCCACUGGGGCUCAUGCUGGCCCUUUUGCUGAAAUGCCUCCCAUUGGGACUGAGAUGUUGCAUCACAAGCAGGUUGUUGCUUGCUUUGUGGGAAGAGGCUGCCUUCCCAUUUGGACACAUGAGGGUUAACUUCCUGUGUCCGUCUGGGCCACCCGCAAAGCUGGUAAACCGGUGUUUCUGGGUGUGGCUGUGAAGGUGUUCCCAGGAGAGAGCGGUCUUUGACUCUGUCGGCGGGUCAAGCAGAGCACCCUUCCCGAAGCGGCAGCGCUGUCCAGUCCAUCGAGGCCCAGGUGGGAAGAAGGACCCUGUCUGUCUCCUGCUCCCAGAGCUCAGCCCUCAGCCCAGCCUGAGCAGUGCUUCUGCCAUCCUGGGUCUGCAGAUGGCAGAUCCUAGGAUCUCUCGGCCUCUGUGGUCACAAGGCCUCCUCUUAUGGACUACAUCCAUGUCCAUUCUCUCUUGGUCCUGGGUCUCUGGUGAGCCCUGGCUGACAUUAACCAUGUGCCAGAGACUGGCGCCCUGGCUGUGGCUCUGAACUGUGAUUGACAGUGAGUCCUGGUUCUGCACUAACCACUCAAUCACAGGUACUGUUCUGAGUGGCUCUUCAGUCCCCUGUGUGGCUGGUACUGGUCUGAGUGGCUCUUCAGUCCCCUGUGUGGCAGUUCCCAGAUCUUGGGUGGCAUUGCGACAAACCAGUCAGGUGUGUGUGGUUCAGCAAAGACCUCAGUGUUGGUGGAAGGGAGGUCGAAUGGCAGGGGGCCGGGUGUACUCACCACCUGGGGGUUAACCUGUCCCUGAUGUGGUUCCUGAAUUAGGGUCCUCAGUCAGUCUGGGAAAGAUCAGUGCUGGUCCCAGAUGUGGGUUCAAGGCCCCUCCCAAGGCACAGGGCUGGGACACCAGGUGUUUGAGGUGACUCUGCAGGUGACCUCACUCCCUGAGCCUCGGUUUCCCUGAUGACCAUGCCCACCUGCCUCUACCCCCAAAAAAUGAAUUAUACAUGUGCUGGGAAGCUUGAAAAGCAUAAAUUCUACUCAGCGAACAUUGUAUGUCACCUGAGGGUCACGUACAAAGUAGCUGCCUCUGGGAAGACACACCAGCGCCCCUGUUGCUGGAGCCGCCAGGGGCCUGGUGCCCCCACAGCCCACCUGUCUGUGCCCCAGCAGACCCUGAACCUAAGCUGCCUGGGCCCUCCCAUCCCACCCCAAUUCACACCCAUCCAGAGAAGAUCUGUCUUCACUUUGGCCCCAGCAUCCCCGGUCCCCAGGGAUACCCAGCCUCUCCACACCCUGCCUGGGGGGUGUAUCUGCCAGGAGCCUGGGUUCCAGGGCUGCGUGUCCCAGCCUCCCCACUGGAGGGGGCCCAGGAAGGGCUCCAGCCUCCUGGGCCAUGGGUAUGAAAUGAGCACGCUGUUCAUAAUGGCCCCGGAACUGCUGUGGUUACUCACCUGCUGUGUCCUCCUCUGUCCGCGGCUGCACUGAGGCAGGUGUCUCGAUCCACUCUUAUCCACGAUACUCCCAGCAUGUGGUGUGGCCAAGGGGAAGGACGGCUGUCUGCGUCCCCCCGAGUGCACAGGCUCUCCUGGGGGAGACUGGUGUGGGACAGCAGCUCUGCCGCAUGUGGGUGCCUUGAGCAGAGAAAACCACAGACAAGGUGACACCUGCUGGAGGGACCUCAGGCGGUGACAACGGCCUGAGCCUGGAGGACUAAGCCCGGUGGCCGUGUAAGUGAUUCCAGUUGGUUGGUUCUGAUUGUCAUCAGCAGCAUAAAGCACAUGCAUUAAAAGCUGGCGGUUUCGAGGUGCUUCUAGGCUCUGGGUGCAGGAUGUCCCACGGCAUCUCGUGUUGCUGGGGAAGCCGCUCAACCAGGUGGGAGGGCCUUGGGGAUGUGGGACUGCAGCUUGAGUUCUUCAUGGUGGCGUCAGUGAUGAUGUGAGCCCCUCCACAGAAUCUAGCACUGUCUCAGGACUUGAGGUCGAAUGUGUUUCCUGGGGCUGCUAUAGCCAGAGGCCACAGGCUGCGGACUUCAAACAACAUAACUGCCCAGUCUCACCGUCUGCGGGCAGAUGUCCAAGACUGGGGCCCCAGGGCUGGCUUCUUUUGAGGCUCAGGGCCCGUCUGGCGAGCCUGGCCUCGGCAUGAACACAGGCCUGGUGGUCCUGGCUUGUGGACGCACCACUGCAGCCUCUGACUGCUGCCUCUCUAGCCGGAAGCCUGCCCUUGGCUUUGGGGCCAGCAUGAAGCCAGCACUGCUGCCUCACAAGACCCUUAUGAAUGGUGCGUGUGAAGACUCUUGUUCCCAGAUAGGGUCACAUUCUCAGGUUCCAGGGGACAUAAGUUUGGUCAUGGUGCUGUCCACACAGAGGGACACACCAUGCGUUUGGCUCAGGUGGUCUUCCUUCCUGAGCUGGGUCAUGAGGUCCCCGCCAAGGUCUCCGAAAGCCAGCUGAGGUCAGGCGCAGCGUUGCUGCAGGAGGCAGCCUGACGUGUGGCCUGAAGCUGACUCCCAUGCGCCCGACCCUGUGGUGUCCCUCACUCAGAGCCCCAUCUUGACCUAUUGUGACCUGGUGUCCCCAGCGUGGCCUUCUGUGCCGUGUGGCUUUCAGCCUGGGCACAGGUGCGACUCCAGCAGACCUCCCCUCAGUCCUUGGGCACUGUGCCUGGGAACAUCUCAGGUGAACGCUUGACCCCACCAGGAACACAUGGCGCAUCGGGGCCUCAUGAUCAACUGAGGGUGUCGGCAAACCUGCUGUCUUCAUUCACCUGCCAUCUUAGGUUCAAGAAUGUGGAAAGUCUGCCUCCCCCACUGAAUGUCUCGGUCACCAAGUGGUGGGAGGGGGAUUCCUGGAGGCUUAUUGUGAGACUCUGUGUCUGUCUUCUCCUCACUGUGUCCCUGACUCCUGUGUCCCCAACUUGGCCGUGGGCAUCUCGCUCUUGAGCUUGGUUCUCCCCAACCGUCUGCCUGGGCACAGAGGGUGACAGGGUGGAGGUGGAGGUAAACAGCCCUCAGCUCACUGGCCAUUCCAGAUGCUCCCUUGGGGAUGGGAUUGGUGGCAAGGCCACUCUGCAUGGUUCCUGGGCUCAGCGUCCAUCCCACUGACCAGGAGUCUUCCAGAGCAAGGGCUGCAGGCGGGGGUGAAGCAGGGUGGGUCUCAGCUCCGUCAGGGCAGCAGCAAGGUCCCAAACCUCCGCUGUCAGCAGACAGUGUUCCUCAGUCCUCCAUCCCACUGCCGCUUAGGCCCCUCCCUCUUUCCCAGAGGAGGGGCUGUGCGGAGCCCUUUGGGUGGAGGGCUUUCCUGGGCUGUCACUUUCCAGCCCUCCAGAGCCCUGCGCUGCCCUGGUGGCCGGCCUGCGAGUGCCCUGCCCACCACUUUCCAGAGACCGUGGCGUCAGUGCUGUGACGAUCCCAGGAAGUUGCCCAUUUAUGGCCACUGGAGCAAAUGAUUUCAUCACAAUAGGUGGCUCCCGUCUAAAUAGGGAUCGUUUGUGAAAUGAGAUUAUAGCCGUUUCUGUGAAACAUCAGCAGACAGAGGCACCUGCUUUCUGCAUGGACGUCCCAGGGGGUUCUGCAGGCUGCCGCCUCAGUGGCUAAUUCCAUUUCCAGCCAAGAGCCUCCCUUUCCUGCUCUGGACCAGGAGGCCCCCACAUCCACAUGGAGUCAACUCCAGAUCCGUGUUUUCUAUUACGCUUGAAUAUAUGGGACACGCGUCGCAAUCCUAUGCCCGCCACCCUGCUGCAGUGCACUUGUCUGGCAGAGCCCUGUGGCCGCUGGUCCACGCCGUGACUCCCAGCCCCGGACACACGCUCCAUGCCUCUGGCCUGGCUGUCUUGCCACGGUUUCGAAGCUUCCUCUCAGCGCCCGGCUCCCGUUUGCUGAGAAGCCGCCUGCUCUUUGCAUGGGAGCUGCAGGCAGCAGCCUUGUCGCGGUAAGUCCAGGGUGACUCUCUUACUUUUCCCGCCUGGGAGGUCCGUCCACCGGUGCGGCGGCACCAGGCAGCGGCCAGAGCCAGUAGCGCCCAGCUAGUCAGGCUCCGGGAGCAGCCUGCCCUCGGCACUUUGCACCAUGUUUCCCAGAGCCCUCCUCCGAGCCCGGCUGCUCCACCUUUACAAGUGAAAAGCCUGUCUCUCCGUAGACGCUGUGGCAGCAGCUGGGAGCAUCUUCAUUGCCGCGGAGGGUUUGGGGAGAGGGUUGGCACAGCGGGCAAGCACGACACCGCUGUCUUUC
ensembl:lncRNA